rnacentral:rRNA from 1 species
UACGUAGGCAGCAGGCGUUGUUCGGAGUUACUGGGCGUAAAGGGUGCGUAGGCGGUUGUUUAAGUUUGGUGUGAAAUCUCCCGGCUCAACUGGGAGGGUGCGCCGAAUACUGAAUGACUAGAGUGCGGGAGAGGAGAGUGGAAUUCCUGGUGUAGCGGUGAAAUGCGUAGAUAUCAGGAGGAACACCGGUGGUGUAGACGGCUCUCUGGACCGUAACUGACGCUGAGGCACGAAAGCGUGGGUAGCAAACAGG